GAACAUGUCAAGCCCAGGUAAGGUUCUUCGCGUUGCGUCGAAUUAAACCACAUGCUCCGCUGCUUGUGCGGGCCCCCGUCAAUUCCUUUGAGUUUUAAUCUUGCGACCGUACUCCCCAGGUGGAAUGCUUAAUGCGUUAGCUGCGCCACCGAGUAGCAUGCUACCCAACGGCUGGCAUUCAUCGUUUACGGCGUGGACUAC
rnacentral:misc_RNA from 1 species